rnacentral:rRNA from 1 species
UCUGCCCAUUAGUGGGGGACAACUAGAAGAAAUUCUAGCUAAUACCGCAUACGCCCUACGGGGGAAAGCGGGGGAUCUUCGGACCUCGCGCUAAUGGAUGAGCCUAAGUCGGAUUAGCUUGUUGGUGAGGUAACGGCCCACCAAAGCGACGAUCCGUAGCUGGUCUGAGAGGACGAUCAGCCACACUGGGACUGAGACACGGCCCAGACUCCUACGGGAGGCAGCAGUGGGGAAUAUUGGACAAUGGGCGCAAGCCUGAUCCAGCAAUGCCGCGUGUGUGAAGAAGGCCUGCGGGUUGUAAAGCACUUUCAGUAGAGAAGAAAAGCCUACGGUUAAUAACCGUGAGUCUUGACGUAACCUACAGAAGAAGCACCGGCUAACUCCGUGCCAGCAGCCGCGGUAAUACAGAGGGUGCGAGCGUUAAUCGGAUUUACUGGGCGUAAAGGGCGCGUAGGCGGUCGUAUGAGUGUGAUGUGAAAGCCCCGGGCUCAACCUGGGAAGUGCAUCGCAAACGAUACGACUGGAGUACAUGAGAGGGUGGCGGAAUUUCCGGUGUAGCGGUGAAAUGCGUAGAGAUCGGAAGGAACGUCGAUGGCGAAGGCAGCCACCUGGCAUGAUACUGACGCUGAGGCGCGAAAGCGUGGGGAGCGAACAGGAUUAGAUACCCUGGUAGUCCACGCUGUAAACGAUGUCAACUAAAUGUUUGUAGGGGAACCUAUGGGUAUUGAAGCUAACGCGAUAAGUUGACCGCCUGGGAAGUACAGCCGCAAGGUUGAAACUCAAAGGAAUUNACGG